rnacentral:rRNA from 1 species
CCUACGGGAGGCAGCAGUGAGGAAUAUUGGUCAAUGGGCGAGAGCCUGAACCAGCCAAGUCGCGUGAAGGAAGACGGCCCUAUGGGUUGUAAACCUCUUUUGUCGGGGAACAAAAUGCGCCACGUGUGGCGUUCUGUGUGUACCUGAAGAAAAAGCAUCGGCUAACUCCGUGCCAGCAGCCGCGGUAAUACGGAGGAUGCGAGCGUUAUCCGGAUUUAUUGGGUUUAAAGGGUGCGUAGGCGGUAGGUUAAGUCAGCGGUAAAAUUUGGCGGCUCAACCUCGCCGAGCCGUUGAAACUGGCAGUCUUGAGUGGGCGAGAAGUAUGCGGAAGGCGUGGUGUAGCGGUGAAAUGCAUAGAUAUCGCGCAGAACUCCGAUUGCGAAGGCAGCAUACCGG